rnacentral:tRNA from 1 species
GCCCGGGUGGCGCAACUGGAUAGCGCAACAGGUUCCUAACCUGUAGGUUGCAGGUUCAAAUCCUGUCCCGGGCG